rnacentral:lncRNA from 1 species
AUCACACUACUACAGGGUUAAUUUGGAAUUUGCUUUUGCUGGUUUGCUGCAGCUGUAUUAACCCCGGAACUAGCAAUGUUUAGUGGUUGAGAAGGAAAAUACAAUAACAUAUUGGAAAAAUUUUAAAAUGUGUAUCAGUAAGCAAGGGGGAAGGAAAAGAGGCUAUUUUGCCCAGGAUAGCUCCUUACGGGUGGUAAAACACACCAGGUGCUGAUGCAAGUCUGUUUUCUUCUUCUUCUUCCUGUUGCCAUUUUUUAAGUGGACCUUUGGGAUUCCUGGCCUGUAGACCAAGGACUUCUUUUCCGAGGCCCAGCGCAAGCCAGCUGCUCCACAGUUUGCAACAGAUAAUACAGUACAUCUCAAACCAGGAACGUUCUUUAAAUUAGACUUUGGCACUGUGAUUCUUGUACUGUUCUCAAGAGCAGGGCUCUUGAAGGCAGGCCAUUCUGGAGAUGGCUCAUUCAUAGGGAAGACUAGAGGGCAGCAAACAGCCAAGGAGGGCCAGACUCAGACCAGGUAGCUUAAGGGCUUUGAAGCACUACUGCAGUUUCCUUCGGGGGCCCCUCAUUAUGCCUGCAUUGUCAUUUGCAUUGAAAUGGUAAUGAUCCCAUUGUGAGCAGAAGGGUGGCACGAGACGUAAGCCCUGCCUCCUUCCCAGAACGUGCCGAUGCACCAUGCUUCUGUGUCUUUAUACAAGCUCUAGAAGAUGCUCCAGGCUGCAGUUUUAUUCUAAUUUAAAGGAACCCAGUAGGAUAUACUGCUGGAUGGCAGGAGAAGAGUGACCGCUGCGAAGGAAACGAAAGGAAAGAAGGAAAAGAAGCGCCCGCCCGCAAUCCCGAAAUUUGUUCACCCGGGAGAAGGAAAGAGACCUGCCACGUAACUCCAGCAAACACAUUUUUCCCCCGGCACAGGAGAAGUUCAAGGCCGGGAAGGCAAUCCGGGUUUCUUCCUCCUCCCGGCGGCGAUCGCUCCUCUCCAGGCUCCAAACGGGAUUCCGCGCCAAGCGGACGGAGGCGCCCCGACCGGAGCGCAAGCGGAGGCAAGACCUGCAGGUCCGCGGAGGCGCAACACCCUCCCCUCCGGCCCCGUCUUGCGGAUCCUCCCCGGGGGGGCCCUCCUUCCUUCGCCCACCGGCCCACCCAUCCCCACCGGCGCGCGCUGGGGGGGGCGCGUCUCUCUGCUUCCCCAGGGAGGGUCCAAGGCAGCGUCAUCGGGGCCGCUCCCUCGCAUAAAGCCACCCCGCCGACCGGCCGCCGCGCCCGUCCGUCCCGCUCCAGUCGCCCGAAGGACGGACAGGCAAGCGCCCCGUGGCGCCCCCCUGCGGAAGAUGCUGCUGGGAAGGCGGCGCGUCUUCUCGGUGGAGCCGCUUUGGAACCGAGGAGGCUGAGCGUUACAUUACAGGAGGCAGACGACCCUCCACCCAUCAUCCCCAGCCACCAGAAAGUCCUCCUUGAGGAAGGUGGGGAUGGGCUUUUCGUUGACCUCAAGGGAAUGAUACCUGGUGAAGGACGGCUUGGCCAGCAGAACUGCACAGGAGGGGGUCAACUUCCCACACAGGCCGGCAUCUUUCACGUCACCUAGCCCACAAAGCGGUUAAGAUAAAACAGGACAGAUCCUUGGACCCUAUUUCAUACCUGAAUUCCUUGGAGGAACGGCGGAGUGGAGUCAUGUAUGUUGAACCUCUUGCAACCUCCAUAACCAGGAGCACAAGAAACCUGCACAAGGCAUACAUUUAUAUCUUGCAUUUCUGUUGUUCAUACUGAAGGGUGCUAACUCUCCUUAAAAGUUCUAUUUAAAAAACAAAGGUAUCUGAAACAAACAAACAUCCAAGCCACUCGCUAAUAAAAAUCUCAUAAUAAAACCGGAAAGCUUUGUU